CCAGACUCCUACGGGAGGCAGCAGUGGGGAAUAUUGCACAAUGGGGGAAACCCUGAUGCAGCGACGCCGCGUGAGUGAAGAAGUAUUUCGGUAUGUAAAGCUCUAUCAGCAGGGAAGAAAAUGACGGUACCUGACUAAGAGGCCCCGGCUAACUACGUGCCAGCAGCCGCGGUAAUACGUAGGGGGCAAGCGUUAUCCGGAUUUACUGGGUGUAAAGGGAGCGUAGACGGCAUGGCAAGUCAGAUGUGAAAGGCCGGGGCUCAACCCCGGGACUGCAUUUGAAACUGUCAGGCUGGAGUGCAGGAGAGGUAAGUGGAAUUCCUAGUGUAGCGGUGAAAUGCGUAGAUAUUAGGAGGAACACCAGUGGCGAAGGCGGCUUACUGGACUGUAACUGACGUUGAGGCUCGAAAGCGUGGGGAGCAAACAGGAUUAGAUACCCCAGUAAA
rnacentral:rRNA from 1 species